rfam:Musca domestica strain aabys unplaced genomic scaffold Scaffold19812, whole genome shotgun sequence.
UAAAAGGCCCUUUUCAGGGCCACAAAAAACAUUUCAAAAGAGAUCAU